rnacentral:rRNA from 1 species
CAGCCGCCGCGGUAAUACGUAGGUGGCAAGCGUUAUCCGGAAUUAUUGGGCGUAAAGCGCGCGUAGGCGGUUUCUUAAGUCUGAUGUGAAAGCCCACGGCUCAACCGUGGAGGGUCAUUGGAAACUGGGAAACUUGAGUGCAGAAGAGGAAAGUGGAAUUCCAUGUGUAGCGGUGAAAUGCGCAGAGAUAUGGAGGAACACCAGUGGCGAAGGCGACUUUCUGGUCUGUAACUGACGCUGAUGUGCGAAAGCGUGGGGAUCAAACAGGAUUAGAGACCCCCGUAGUCCCUGUCUCUUAUAC